GCGCCUUGCCAGCCCGCUCAGAAACUUAAAGGAAGUUUGACGGGGGCCCGCACAAGCGGAGGAACAUGUGGUUUAAUUCGAUGAUACGCGAGGAACCUUACCUGGGCUAGAACGCAUUCGGAAUCAGGCCGAAAGGUCUGCGCCAGCGAUGGCCGGUUGCGAGGUGCUGCAUGGUUGUCGUCAGCUCGUGUCGUGAGAUGUUGGGUUAAGUCCCGUAACGAGCGCAACCCUUGUCCUUAGUUACCAGCACGUUAUGGUGGGCACUCUAAGGAGACUGCCGGUGACAAACCGGAGGAAGGUGGGGAUGACGUCAAGUCAUCAUGGCCCUUACGGCCUGGGCUACACACGUGCUACAAUGGUCGGUACAAAGGGUUGCCAAGCCGCGAGGUGGAGCUAAUCCCAUAAAACCGAUCGUAGUCCGGAUCGCAGUCUGCAACUCGACUGCGUGAAGUCGGAAUCGCUAGUAAUCGUGAAUCAGAAUGUCACGGUGAAUACGUUCCCGGGCCUU
rnacentral:rRNA from 1 species